rnacentral:rRNA from 1 species
GACAGAGGUGCCGAGCGUUAGGCGGAAUCACUGGGCUUAAAGCGUGUGUAGGCGGAUGGGUAAGUCCCUUGUGAAAUCCCACGGCUCAACCGUGGAACUGCUCGGUAUACUGCUCGUCUUGAGCCAACUAGGGGCGACCGGAACAAACGGUGGAGCGGUGAAAUGCGUAGAUAUCGUUUGGAACGCCGAUGGUGAAAACAGGUCGCUGGGGUUGUGCUGACGCUGAGACACGAAAGCCAGGGGAGCGAACGGG